rnacentral:rRNA from 1 species
UACGUAGGCAGCGAGCGUUGUUCGGAGUUACUGGGCGUAAAGCGUGCGUAGGCGGUGAUCUAAGUCUGUUGUGAAAUCUCCCGGCUUAACCGGGAGGGUGCGGCGGAAACUGGGUUGCUGGAGUGCGGGAGAGGUAAGCGGAAUUCCCGGUGGUAGCGGUGAAAUGCGUAGAUAUCGGGAGGAACACCUGCGGUGUAGACGGCUUACUGGACCGUAACUGACGCUGAGGCACGAAAGCGUGGGGAGCAAACAGG